ACUUCCUGGCAUUGGGUAGAGACACCUUGGUGGUGGUGCUGUUCUUGUAUCACUAAGGGGCAAGGCAGACAACAGUCCUUUGUUCAUCCUAGCUUGAUGCCUACCUUGGUGGCCAAAGCUGUUUUAUUUCUAGGACUAAUAG